CCCAGGCGCUGUGACAGGCGCCUGUAGUCCCAGCUACUUGGGAGGCUGAGGCAAGAGAAUUACUUGAGCCCAGGAGUUGGAGGUUGCUGUGAGCUGUGAUACCAUAGCACUCUUCCCAGGGCAACAGCUUGUGGCUCUGUCUCGGGGGAAAUAAAAUUUUUUUUUUUUUGAGACACAGCCUCAAGCUGUCCCCCUGGAUAGAGUGCCGUGGCAUCACAGCUCACAGCAACCUCCAACUCCUGGGCUCAAGUGAGUCUCCUGCC
rnacentral:sRNA from 1 species